CUCUAUGUAGCCCUGGCUGGCCCAGAAUUUGCUAUGUAGACCAGUCUGGCCUCAAAAUCACAGAGAUCCACCUGCUUCCUCAGUAGUGGAAAUAAAGAUUAGAACCACUGAAGUUGGAAAAAGAAGGCCAGAACAAUUGCCAAAAGCCCCAGGAUUUUGAGCAGGAAGGAUGCUGGAUUGUUGGAUGAAGGCUUCAGACUGCGGGUCUUUAAGGGCUUCAGGAUCCUCUGCUUCUGGGUCUCAAGUCAGUGUUGCAAGAGUAUUGAUUACUGUCAAACUCAGAACUUAGUUUCACCUCAACAAAAAUGCAAUCAGAUCCCAGCACCGGCUCGGUGGUAAAUGAGGUCUUUGCUGAACAAAACUGAACCCCAGAAGCACGAAACAAACAAACAAACAAACAAACAAACAAAAAAACAAACAAACCUUUUCAAGGAAGGUGAAGUGCUGUACAAAUGAGAAGAGACAAACCUUUAAAUUUUUUUUUUUAAACUUUGUCCCAGUGAGAUGACUCAGCAGGUAGAGGCAUGCUUGCUAGUGUGCAGACCUGACAAUUUGAGCUUUAUCUCCGGGUCCCACAAGGUGGCAGCAGAGAACCACCUGCCCAUAGGGUAGAAGUCCUUUGGUCUCCGCCACAGAUGGGCCUCCCCUCCAAUAAGCACAGUUUUUAAAAUGAAGGAAAGAAUGUAGGAGACGCUGCUUGGUGGAGCAGCCCACUCACCUUUGAAAACCCGUGUUGCCCAACGCGCCUGAAGCUCCACAGUUGGGAAGAUGGAUCCCAGAGGCUGGAUGAGACCCAAGCAUGCAAGAGUUGGCUUCUCCAGGUGAGGCGGGAACAUGGAUUUGUACAGCGAGACCCUAUUAUCCUCCACUUUCACAAGCGAAUCUUCAAGGAAAGGAAAGGAGAAAGUGUAGCCUGUGGCAAAGACAAUGACAUCAAUGUCCUCCUCCACCGUGCCAUCGUCAAAAACCGCAGCAGUCUCCGUGAGCUCUUUGACUCUUGUUUUCACCUUGAUGGCUCCAUACAGCACACGGCUGGGGAGAUCGUCGUUUAGCACAGGUUCUUUCAUAAGGUAUCUGAGGCACAAAAGGAAAGAACACACUCAGCGCGUUCUUCGACUGAGGAAUCUUUAACCCACUCGACGUUUAGGGGUAGCUCUGAAAAAUACAGCAGUUUCCCAAAUAGCCAUACAAUUCUAACUCAACUGUUUUGUCCACCCCAGACUUUGUCACUGGCCUCAUUUAAUAUCAACAAUCUCUUCCCUUGAUAAACAAAGAAAGGCAAGUAGAUGGCAAAAGUAAAAAAAGACAAUCUGGAGACAGCAGUAUCUCCACAGGGGCUCAGAUAUGACGUCAGCACCCAUUGUUAAUCUUUGAACUUGCUGGCAAUUGUUACCUUCUGGUAUCUCUAUCACUUUUUAUUCUGUCUACUUUUCACUAUUUGGUAGUCUCAUUUAAUCUCUACCCAAUGAUAAAUAAAGGAAAACAUAUUACAUUAGCACUGAGAGCUACUGUGGAUCAGUGUGAGAAUCAAUGCGUAAAAUGAAAAUUGCUGACAUCUACUGACCCCCAUAUCUAUAGAAACUCUGUUUGUGGUGGCAUGGAUGGCGGAGCUAAAGUCUGGUUGUAUUUUUGCAGUUGUUGGUUUGUAAACCAUUUUCUUCUCUUUUAAAAAUAAGGCAACAUAUGACAUAUGUGCUGGAGUCUUAAUUCAGCAUAAUGGAGCAUCUAAGAUUCCAAAUAUCUUCUCCCCUCCUCUGGGGAGGGAGACUGUUUAUCAAGUGAAGAAAGGCAAACAUCCACCAUGUUUACUUGUGCUUACAGUAUCCAAGAUGUGUGACUUUGAUACCAGCAAAUAUUUGUCUUUUGGCCACAAGAAAGUAUAUGUUCACAUGGGAACAGCCUUCAGCGGAUAUGGACAGCAACGGCUGACUUACCAGAUGAAGAGCUAGCUUUUCCUAUCACAGUGCUUCUACCAUCUUCUUAAGUAUUAUUAUAAAGACACUCAGUAUGAAUUUGGAAUUAAGACCCCGGGACCAAUACAAUUACACAUCCUGUUGGGUUAUAGCUUGAACUACCAUGCUAGCAAAUCGGAUCUUUGCAAAGAGAGGCACCAUCAGACAACCUUGCCUGCAAUAAGCGUACCACAAAAAGAAAAAUAACACUACUUGUUUUGAGGCACCAGACCAUAAUUUUCAUGGUUGAACCAUCGAUUCAUUUGCUGUUCCAUCAUCCACUUGACGACUGUGCGUGGCAGGACAUUUCGGAGCAUAGUGCUAAAUCUAGUGUGGAACACCAUGUCCCAAGGGUAGCCAUCUUCAGAGAUUCGGCUCAUGACCCAGGCACCAUGUCUGGUGCUGAUAAACACCUGGUGAACAGAAAGGAGUGCAACUGAAAUAUGGGCUUUGGCCUUUUGGGAGGACUCUCUUGUACAGUGCAAGAUAAGCAAAAGCAUCGCACCUGCGAGGCCUUCUUACUCAGUUCAGAGGCAAUGUCUACGGCUGAGUUGCCUAUUCCAACAACCAGGAUGCGUUUCCCCUCAAACCCAGCUGGGUGUUUGUAUUGACGGCUAUGGAAAUACUGGCCUUUGAACCGCUCGAUACCUUCAGGAGGAAGAAAGGGGAAACUGUGAACUUCCAAAAAAUUCUGCCUGCCCAUCUAAACUCCAUGCAAGAUUCCUGGAAGCCCACUCCCACAGGCUGAGAAGCCCCGUAGACUCACCUGGAAAUGACUUCAGUGGCAGGCAAACACAGAGGAUAUCCUUAGAAGACUGUCAUUCACAGGAUGGCUCUACCAGGAAUUGGAGGGGGAACCACAGGAGCAUCCUGCCUUGAAAUCCUGCCUGACUCUGCUUGAUGAUGGAGACUGUAACCUAUAGGCUGAAAUGAACCCUUUCCUCCUGAAGUUGGUUUCAAUCAGUGUUUUAUCAUAGAAAUAGGAAGCAAACGAAGCCACCAACCAGAUGACAAACCUGAUUUUUAAUGUUCACAAUUGGGCCUUGCUAAAAAUCCCAUAAAGCUUAUGUUAUGAUUGAGUUAAUAUUGUCUUCUAAAGUCAUACUCUGUACGAUGUCCUUCAUGUAAAUUUAUGUAAAUAAAUAGCUAAGACUGGUGAUCAGAGACUGAAUAAACCUAUGACCAGAGAUGCUUUUAUUAUAAAAUUUAAAUAAUGGUGCCUAAGAACUCUUCAGUGGAUGCUUCUGCGUAUACAAAGACUAAGCUAUCAUCCAGAGAAAGAGUAAUUUCCAUUUGACUAUGCAGUAGAAUGGCUGU